GAUGAACGCUGGCGGCGUGCCUAAUACAUGCAAGUCGAGCGAACGGACGAGAGGCUUGCUUCUCUGAUGUUAGCGGCGGACGGGUGAGUAACACGUGGAUAACCUAUCUAUAAGACUGGGAUAACUUCGGGAAACCGGAUCUAAUACCGGAUAAUAUUUUGAACCGCAUGGUUCAAAAGUGAAAGACGGUCUUGCUGUCACUUAUAGAUGGAUCCGCGCUGCAUUAGCUAGUUGGUAAGGUAACGGCUUACCAAGGCGACGAUGCGUAGCCGACCUGAGAGGGUGAUCAGUCACACUGGAACUGAGACACGGUCCAGACUCCUACGGGAGGCAGCAGUAGGGAAUCUUCCGCAAUGGGCGAAAGCCUGACGGAGCAACGCCGCGUGAGUGAUGAAGGUCUUCGGAUCGUAAAACUCUGUUAUUAGGGAAGAACAUAUGUGUAAGUAACUGUGCACAUCUUGACGGUACCUAAUGAGAAAGCCACGGCUAACUACGUG
rnacentral:rRNA from 1 species